rnacentral:rRNA from 1 species
UAGGGAUUAGAUACCCUAUUAUUCUAUUAAAUUAAGGUAAUAACAAGUUUUAGAAAAACCUAUUUAUUUUGGCGGCAAUAAAUCUUAUUAAAGGAACUUGUUUAAUAAUCGAUAGUUCACGUUUACUUUCACUUUAAUUAAAAAUUUAUAUAUCGCCAUUUAGAAUUAAUUUUAAAAAAUAACUCUUAAUAAUACUAAUAAAAAAUUAGGUCAAAAUGUAAUUUAUAUUUUAGUAUAAGUGAGUUACAUUAAAAAACAUUUAAGGAAUAAUUAAUUAAAAUUAAAUAUAAAAUAGGAUUUAAAUGUAAUAUUUUAAUAAAAAUUCAAUAUGAAUUAGAUAUCA